CGCUACCUGCAGUCGAGCGGCAGCACGGGUACUUGUACCUGGUGGCGAGCGGCGGACGGGUGAGUAAUGCCUAGGAAUCUGCCUGGUAGUGGGGGAUAACGCUCGGAAACGGACGCUAAUACCGCAUACGUCCUACGGGAGAAAGCAGGGGACCUUCGGGCCUUGCGCUAUCAGAUGAGCCUAGGUCGGAUUAGCUAGUUGGUGAGGUAAUGGCUCACCAAGGCGACGAUCCGUAACUGGUCUGAGAGGAUGAUCAGUCACACUGGAACUGAGACACGGUCCAGACUCCUACGGGAGGCAGCAGUGGGGAAUAUUGGACGAUGGGCGAAAGCCUGAUCCAGCCAUGCCGCGUGUGUGAAGAAGGUCUUCGGAUUGUAAAGCACUUUAAGUUGGGAGGAAGGGCAGUUACCUAAUACGUGAUUGUUUUGACGUUACCGACAGAAUAAGCACCGGCUAACUCUGUGCCAGCAGCCGCGGUAAUACAGAGGGUGCAAGCGUUAAUCGGAAUUACUGGGCGUAAAGCGCGCGUAGGUGGUUUGUUAAGUUGAAUGUGAAAUCCCCGGGCUCAACCUGGGAACUGCAUCCAAAACUGGCAAGCUAGAGUAUGGUAGAGGGUGGUGGAAUUUCCUGUGUAGCGGUGAAAUGCGUAGAUAUAGGAAGGAACACCAGUGGCGAAGGCGACCACCUGGACUGAUACUGACACUGACGUGCGAAAGCGUGGGGAGCAAACAGGAUUAGAUACCCUGGUAGUCCACGCCGUAAACGAUGUCAACUACCCGUUGGGAGCCUUGAGCUCUUAAUGGCACAGCUAACGCAUUAAGUUGACCCCCUGGGGAGUACGGCCCCAAGG
rnacentral:rRNA from 1 species